AUUGAACGCUGGCGGCAUGCCUUACACAUGCAAGUCGAACGGCAGCACGGGUGCUUGCACCUGGUGGCGAGUGGCGAACGGGUGAGUAAUACAUCGGAACGUACCUUAUCGUGGGGGAUAACGCAGCGAAAGCUGUGCUAAUACCGCAUACGCCCUGAGGGGGAAGGCGGGGGAUCGCAAGACCUCGCGCGAUUAGAGCGGCCGAUGCCUGAUUAGCUUGUUGGUGGGGUAAAAGCCCACCAAGGCGACGAUCAGUAGCUGGUCUGAGAGGACGAUCAGCCACACUGGGACUGAGACACGGCCCAGACUCCUACGGGAGGCAGCAGUGGGGAAUUUUGGACAAUGGGGGCAACCCUGAUCCAGCAAUGCCGCGUGAGUGAAGAAGGCCUUCGGGUUGUAAAGCUCUUUUGUCAGGGAAGAAACACCGGCUCUAACACAGUCCGGGAAUGACGGUACCUGAAGAAUAAGCACCGGCUAACUACGUGCCAGCAGCCGCCCGUAA
rnacentral:rRNA from 1 species